rnacentral:sRNA from 1 species
CAUAUUUAUAUUAUUAAUAAGACAGGUAAAGAGCUUUAUACGUACACAUCAAUCCACUUCAUCCACAUAAUUUCGGUGCCUCUGAGGCGAAAGGGAUAAAAGUGGAGGCUUUAAGGGAAUGGGAAGUCGUCGUAAUGCCAGUCUGAUCCGGACACCCGACCGGAUGUCGGCUCAUCCAUCAGUCAGAUGGAUGGACCCGGUAAUUGUGAAACAUGUGCGCAAUCAUUUUACGCUCAAGUGAUGCGCCUUUUGGCGCCUCGAAAAGGAGGGCAUUGUAAAUAGGGUCUUACCAGUCAUAAUCGGAGCAAAAGCUCGGCGAUUUGCCUUUUGUGUCUCCUGUGCCCUCUUCGCUCUCCGCACGACUCGCACCUGCGCAGGAUCUCCGGAAAGAGAGGGAGAGCAAGGAAGAGAGAUGUUUGCAGCAUGACAGAGCAGAGCGCCGCUUUAUAAACAAAACAGUUUCAGUCCCAACUACGCGGCGGCUGAACGCGGUGGCUCGACGGCCAAGCAGGAUAAGAAGGACUCGCUGGGCCGAAAA